AUUGAACGCUGGCGGCAGGCCUAACACAUGCAAGUCGAGCGAUUUUGGCUUCGGUCAGAAGAGCGGCGAACGGGUGAGUAACACGUAGGAAUCUGCCUGGUAGUGGGGGACAACGUCUCGAAAGGGACGCUAAUACCGCAUACGCCCUACGGGGGAAAGCUGGGGACCUUCGGGCCUAGCGCUAUCAGAUGAGCCUGCGUCAGAUUAGCUAGUUGGUAGGGUAAAGGCCUACCAAGGCGACGAUCCGUAACUGGUCUGAGAGGAUGAUCAGUCACACAGGAACUGAGACACGGUCCGGACUCCUACGGGAGGCAGCAGUGGGGAAUAUUGGACAAUGGGGGCAACCCUGAUCCAGCCAUGCGGCGUGUGUGAAGAAGGCCUUCGGGUUGUAAAGCACUUUAGGUCGGGAGGAAGGUUUGCUGGCUAAUAUCCAGCAGAAUUGACGUUACCGACAGAAUAAGCACCGGCUAACUCCGUGCCAGCCGCCGCCGUAAUAC
rnacentral:rRNA from 1 species